GAUGAACGCUGGCGGCGUGCCUAAUACAUGCAAGUCGAGCGAACAGACGAGGAGCUUGCUCCUCUGACGUUAGCGGCGGACGGGUGAGUAACACGUGGAUAACCUACCUAUAAGACUGGGAUAACUUCGGGAAACCGGAGCUAAUACCGGAUAAUAUAUUGAACCGCAUGGUUCAAUAGUGAAAGACGGUUUUGCUGUCACUUAUAGAUGGAUCCGCGCCGCAUUAGCUAGUUGGUAAGGUAACGGCUUACCAAGGCAACGAUGCGUAGCCGACCUGAUAGGGUGAUCGGCCACACUGGAACUGGAACACGGUCCAGACUCCUACGGGAGGCAGCAGUAGGGAAUCUUCCGCAAUGGGCGAAAGCCUGACGGAGCAACGCCGCGUGAGUGAUGAAGGUCUUCGGAUCGUAAAACUCUGUUAUUAGGGAAGAACAAAUGUGUAAGUAACUAUGCACGUCUUGACGGUACCUAAUCAGAAAGCCACGGCUAACUACGUG
rnacentral:rRNA from 1 species